GCCUUCGUAGUGCAGUGGUCAGCACGCUGGGCUCGAAUUCCAGAGCUCCGUGGUUCAAUUCCCGACGAAGGCG
rnacentral:tRNA from 1 species